UGGCCGUAAACGAUACUCGCUAGGUGUCGGCCACGGUGCGACCGUUGUCGGUGCCGUAGGGAAGCCGUGAAGCGAGCCACCUGGGAAGUACGGCCGCAAGGCUGAAACUUAAAGGAAUUGGCGGGGGAACACAACAACGGGUGGAGCUUGCGGUUUAAUUGGAUUCAACGCCGAAAAUCUUACCGGGACCGACAGCAACAUGAAGGCCAAGCUGAAGACUUUGCCGGAUUAGCUGAGAGGAGGUGCAUGGCGUAGUCGUGU
rnacentral:rRNA from 1 species